AUUGAACGCUGGCGGCAGGCUUAACACAUGCAAGUCGAGCGAGCGGCGGACGGGUGAGGAAUGGCUGGGAACCUGCCUGAUGGAGGGGGAUAACUGGUGGAAACGGUAGCUACUACCGCAUAACAUCAGAUGUGCCCAGAUGGGAUUAGCUAGUAGGUGAGGUAAUGGCUCACCAAGGCGACGAUCCCUAGCUGGUCUGAGAGGAUGACCAGCCACACUGGAACUGAGACACGGUCCAGACUCCUACGGGAGGCAGCAGUGGGGAAUAUUGCACAAUGGGCGAAAGCCUGAUGCAGCCAUGCCGCGUGUGUGAAGAAGGCCUUCGGGUUGUAAAGCACUUUCAGCGAGGAGGCGUUACCCGCAGAAAAAGCACCGGCUAACUCCGUGCCAGCAGCCGCGGUAAUAC
rnacentral:rRNA from 1 species